ACAAAGGAUCCCUAGUAACGGCGAGUGAAGAGGGAAGAGCCCAAGAUUGAAAGCUGGCGUCUUCGGCGUCCGCAUUGUAAUCUCAAGAAGUGUUUUCCGUUUCGGACCAUGCCUAAGUCUCUUGGAAAAGAGCAUCAUAGAGGGUGAUAAUCCCGUACAUGGCAUGGAGCGCCCGAGACUUUGUGAUACGCUUUCUAAGAGUCGAGUUGUUUGGGAAUGCAGCUCAAAAUGGGUGGUAAAUGCCAUCUAAGGCUAAAUAUUGGGGAGAGACCGAUAGCGAACAAGUACAGUGAUGGAAAGAUGAAAAGAACUUUGAAAAGAGAGUUAAACAGUACGUGAAAUUGCCAAAAGGGAAGGGUAGGAGGUCAGAGAUGCGUUCUGGGAUUCAGCCUUGCUUUUGCUUGGUGUUUUUCCCAGAUUGCAGGCCAACGUCGGUUUUGGGCGCUGGAGAAGGGUGGAAGGAAUGUGGCACCUCUCGGGGUGUGUUAUAGCCUUCUACUGGAUACAGUGACCGAGACCGAGGACAGCAGCGUACUCGCAAGAGCGGGCCUUCGGGCACCUUUACGCUUAGGGCGUUGGCAUAAUGGCCCUCUACCACCCGUCUUGAACCACGGGACCAAA
rnacentral:rRNA from 1 species